rnacentral:lncRNA from 10 species
UCAUGGAAGCGGUCUCGCCCCUGCUGUUCUCGUGACAGUGAGUUAUCGCGAGAUCUGAUGGUUUCGUAAGUGUUCGGUAGUUCCUCCUGCGUUCAUUUUCCUUCCUCCCAUCUUGUGAAGAAGGUGCUUUGCUUUCUCCUCACCUUGUGUCGUGAUUGUAAGUUUCCUGAAGCCCUUCCUGCCAUGCUGAACUGAAGUAGAGUCUAUGACUCUUCCCCUUGAAUCUCCAUGGGACUUUAUUGCUUCAGAGACAAGGAAUGUCGCAAAAGUGAUGCUGCUUGACUUUUGAGAGUAGCUCUGGAAGACAUGUGAGCUGAGAUGGUUUUAAGAUGGCCCCAACCCAGCCACCAUCUGACUCCAAUAGCAUGAGAGGCUUCUAAGGAGAACUUUCUUGAUAAGUCCAGUCAACCUCACAUUUGUAAGCAAAAUAAAUGAUUUUUUAAAUUGUUUAGUUAUUGUUUUAAG